rnacentral:rRNA from 1 species
CCACACUGGGACUGAGACACGGCCCAGACUCCUACGGGAGGCAGCAGUGGGGAAUUUUGGACAAUGGGGGAAACCCUGAUCCAGCCAUGCCGCGUGAGUGAAGAAGGCCUUCGGGUUGUAAAGCUCUUUCAGCCGGAACGAAAUGGUUACGGCUAAUACCCGUGACUAAUGACGGUACCGGAAGAAGAAGCACCGGCUAACUACGUGCCAGCAGCCGCGGUAAUACGUAGGGUGCAAGCGUUAAUCGGAAUUACUGGGCGUAAAGCGUGCGCAGGCGGUUUUGUAAGUCAGAUGUGAAAUCCCCGGGCUCAACCUGGGAACUGCGUUUGAAACUA